AAUCUGCCUUUUGGUUUGGAAUAACACGGGGAAACUUGUGCUAAUACCGAAUAAGCCCUUACGGGGAAAGUUUUAAUGCCGAAAGAUGAGCCCGCACUUGAUUAGCUAGUUGGUAAGGUAAAAGCUUACCAAGGCAACGAUCAAUAGCUGUUCUUAGAGGAAGACCAGCCACAUUGGGACUGAGACACGGCCCAGACUCCUACGGGAGGCAGCAGUGGGGAAUCUUGCACAAUGGGGGAAACCCUGAUGCAGCGAUGCCGCGUGAGUGAAGAAGGCCUUUGGGUUGUAAAACUCUUUCGUCGGGGAAGAAAAUGACUGUACCCGAAUAAGAAGGUCCGGCUAACUUCGUGCCAGCAGCCGCGGUAAUACGAAGGGACCUAGCGU
rnacentral:rRNA from 1 species